rnacentral:tRNA from 1 species
GCUCUCGUAGCUCAGUUGGUUAGAGCACCCGUUUAGCAAGCGGGAGGUCUUGAGUUCAACUCUCAACGAAAGCA